AAUUACAAAACAGAGUUGCGGCUCAGUCUGCCAGAGAUAGGAAGAAGGCAAAAUUGGAUAAGCUAGAAAUACAUGUCAAAGUUUUGGAGGAGGAGAAACUGGCAUUAUUGUCAGAAAAUGAAAUAUUAAAACGGAAAUUGAUGCUUCUAGAAAAUGAAAACUCUGACCUGAGAUCAAGACUGGGUCUGAAAGAAAUAAAAGUAGAACAGGAAGAUGAG